rnacentral:rRNA from 1 species
CACGCUGUAAACGAUAGAUACUCGCUGUAGCUGGUAAUCAAUCCGGCUGUAGCUUAGCUAACGCGUUAAGUAUCUCGCCUGGGAAGUACGGUCGCAAGAUUAAAACUCAAAGGAAUUGACGGGGACCCGCACAAGCGGUGGAUUAUGUGGUUUAAUUCGAAGCAACGCGCAAAACCUUACCUAGCCUUGACAUGCCGAUGACCGGUGCAGAAAUGCAUCUUCCCUUCGGGGCAUUGGACACAAGUGC